CCUUUUUCUUUUGGGGUUUACAAGUAGUCUCUCCAAGGAACUGGGGCAAAGAAAAUUCCAAGGAAGCUACACGUAUUAGAAAAAUCUUUGUGUUAGUUGAGAACUGUACCAUGUAACUUUGUAAGACAAUAUUUUAUUUAAUUUUCUUAAACGUUGUUAUAAAGGGAUGUCACUAUAGUGAUACUGUUUUAGGUGGAUAUAAUACUUACCUUUACCCUCUUUUUAUUGAUUUUUAAAUAUUACACACAUUUUAAUUAGUGGCAAUUUUACAAUAAUGUGAGGCUCUUAGAAAAGUGUUCAUUUUUGCUCAUGAGAAAUGGGAAAUGUGUUGGAGUUUUGGAGUUCCAGUUCAAAUAACUGAAGAAAAAAAUAUAUGUAUAUAUGUAUAUAGUGGCUUCAACUGCAUACUUUAAUCAGCUUAGGAACAGUUAUCCCAAAUUUCUUUCUUAACACAUAGUAUUAUUCUUUCCAAAGUGACUAAAACUAAGAAUUUUUGAAUAACGUUUAUUUCUGUGAUAAAGUAAUUAUGUACAAGUUAGAAGUUAUGCUAGGGGGCCUGGAAAUUCUCGGACAGAAAUUCUAUUUUCUCAUAAUUUCAUGGCUUUUAAAUAUGUCGCCAUUGCAUAGAGUUUUCACAGCAGCUGGUAGAGAUGUAAUAUUAAUUUUAUUUGCCUAGGGAAGGGAAGGAAGUAGCUGGCCAUUGUGUGUAUGUGAUGUAGUAGGGAAGACUAGGUUACUCUGAAGUAGUUUCGAGCAUUAGUACCUUAGGUAUUGCAUUGAAUUAUUUAAGAAGGUGGGGAAAGUUCAGAAGAAAAUGAUUGGAAUGAUAGUACCAAAAUUUCAGUGAGGUAUGGUUAGUGGAAUUAGAAAUAUUUAUCCUGGACACCAUAGGAGAAUAUAAAACUAGUUUCAAAUAUUUGGAGAGCUGACAAGUAGAAGAUAAAUUAAGGAAUUGUUUGUAUUGUCCUAUGGCCUUGAGAAGAAGCUAUAUGGAGUCUUUUGCCUCAAAAUGAGAAAAGCACAAAGAUGUCCAAAGAGGCAAAGAGAAUUCUCAUUCAAGAUGGCAGACACAGCACAUAUCUCCUUUCUACUUUAAAUCUCAUAGAAAUGUCAGCAAAGAAGAACUAAGGGUAAUAAAUUAAAGACUACUCGGUACAGAAGAAAGGGCAUCAGGAACUAGGGAUAUAGAUAAGUUUCUUGAAAGUGGGAAUACUUGGAAUUGUAUUAACAGCUUAAAUCACAUUCACAGGAGAAGGCUGCAGUAGAGGCUAGAGCUAUUUUUCCUGGCAACAGACCCAGAGAGAAGCUCAACACUUGGAGUAUGAAAGGAGAGUUGGAAAGAAAUCAACUGUGGAAUAACUGCGUGAGUCAUAGUCCAUGUUCUCCUUCCCUGCAUCACAUGCUCAGGCUAAAACCAGAGGACUAAUAUUUAAAAUAAUUGAAUAGUCUUCGUGAGAAGGAGCCCUAGUUGGGGUGAUGCCUCAUCUGAGUAAACUUCUUCCCACUUUUGCUGGGAAGUGGGAGAAGUAGGGAGGGGGACCUCCAACCUCCUCUUCUUUCACUACAAGGUCUAAAGCAAAGGCUGCCAGUGACAGCCACUUGUGUAGACAAGAGAGAGCUGGACAAGGCCGAGCUAUCUGCAUUGAAUGAGGUGACUUACCUCAGUUGUAGGUAUGAAUCUAUAGCCAAGGAUUAUGAAAACCUGAAGAAAAAUGAGGACAAAAGAGCAGGUUGAGAGAAAAAAUACCCUGACUCUGGAGGAAAUAGAUAAUUCAGGACAUAGAAAAUUCUUUAUUCUAUGUAGUAUCCUCAUGGAAACAAAGUCGAGAGAAAGCAUUUUUAGUGCAAAAUUAGAUUGCUAAGAAAGAACAACUAAAACAAAAUAAAUAGUUAUUAAAAUGAAAAAGUAAUUGUUAAAGUUAGAAAUUCAAGGGAAGACCUGGGAGAAAAAGUUGAAGAAACUGCUCUAAAUGUAGUGCAAAAAGAUAAAGGAUGGAAAAUGUGGGAGAAAAGUGAAGAGAUUAGAGAAGCAUCCAAAGGGAUGUUCAGAAAGAGACAAAACAAAGAAUAAGAGAGAAUUUUCCAUAAGUGAGGAAAUAGGACUUGAGAUUGUAAGAACCCUAGAGAAUGCAAAAUAGGAUGAAUGAACAAACUUAGCCCAAGGCACAUUCUUGUGACAUUUUAGAUAUUGAGAAUAAAGGGAAGAGUCUAAAAGCCAAAAGAAUAGAUUACUCAGUGAGAAUCCAAUUGGUAUUAGAUAGAUCAUCAGCAACUGUAAAUGCUAAGAAAAACAAAACAAGAAGCAUGCCUUCAAAAUGUGUAAAAUAAAGUUUUUUGAACCUAAAAUUCUCUACUUAGCCAAACUAUCAAUCGAUCAAGAGUGAGGCAUUUUCAAGCAUGCAAGAACUCAGACCAUUUACCACCCACAGACUAUUUCUGAAAGAAUUACUGAAGCAAAACAAAAAAGAAUCCAAGUAGGAGGAAGCCAUGGCCUCUAAGGAACAGUGGAUCUCACCCAAGAUUGUAAUGAAAUAUAAUUCCAGGAUGACAACCUUGAGGCAGGCCUAGAAAGCCAUCAGUCUGAAUUAGAACCAGAAGUCAGAUGCUCUGUGAAGAAUCUCUUUCAGGAGGACAUGGAUUUCUUCUAUAAAUUGAAUGACUGAGAAGCUGAGUGGUCUUGUGACAAGGCAAAGGCAUGUUCUGAAGACUGAAGUCCAAGAUCAAGGUGCCAGCAGAAUUGGUGUCUGGUGAGGUCUCUCUUCUUGUCUUGCAACUGGCUACCUUCUUGUAGUGUCCUCACACAGCUUUCUCUGUGUGCAAGCAGAGAGCAGGGUGGGGAGAGAGAGAAAGAGAGCAAGUUCUGGUGUCUCUUCCUUUCCAGUUCUGUUGGAUUAGAGUCCCACCCUUAUAUCCUCAUUCGACUUUAAUCACUUCCUUAAUGCCCUUAUCUCAAAAUACAGUCAAAUUGGGGGUUAAGAUUUCAUCAUAUGAAUUUUGGAGAGACACAGUUCAGUCCAUAGCAGCAUGGUAUAUCUUUUCCAUCCUUUUACAUAUAACUCAUUUUCUUUUAGUAUGUGAAGUGUUUUUCUUAUAGGAAGAGUAGAGUUGAAUUUUGCAUUUUUACCCAGUCCUAACAAUCUCAGUUGGGGGGUCAAAAUAAUAACAUUUAAUGUGAUUAUUGAUAUGCUAAGGUUUAAAUUUGUCACCUUGCUAUCUGCUUUCUAUUUAUUCCAAGUGUUAUUUGUUCUCCCUUUGUACUUUUUCUGCCUUCUUUUGGAUUAUUUUUAUUAACUCAUUUUAUCUUCUCUGUUGGUUUAUUAACUACAACUUUGAUGGAUACACACACACGCGCGCACACACACACACACACACACACACACACGUUAUUUUGACUCCCCCAGUUGAGAUUGUCAGGAUUGCAUAAAAAAGCAAAAUUCAACUCUAUUCUUCCUAUAAAAGAAAAAUACUUCCCAUACUAAAAAAAAAAAAAAUGGUUAAAUGUAAAAGGUUGGAAAAGGUACACCAUGCUGCUAUGGACUGAAUUGUGUCUCUCCAAAAUUCAUAUGGCAAAACCUUAACCCCCAAUUUGACUGUAUUUUGAGAUAAAGGGAUACAUUAAAAUACAUUUAAUCUCAAACAUAUUUUUUCAUUUCUAGAAGUUUGAUGUAUACAUUUUAAAUAUCUUUUAGUGUCUCUACUUAAGUUUUUGAACAUAUAUAGCUGUAAUAGCUGUUUUAAUAUCCUUGUUUGUUAAUUUUAACAUCUGCCUCAGGUUUGGUUUGGUUUCAGUUGAUUGUUUUCCCUUCAUUAUGGUCAUGUUUUACUGCUUCUUUGCCUUCCUGGUCAUUUUUUUAUUGUAUGCCAGACAUUGUAUAUUUUUUUCCUAUUGAGUGUUGAAUUUUUUUAUUUCUAUAAAUAUUCUUGAGCAGUUGAGUUGUUUGGAAACAGUUUGUGUUUGGGGAUCAAACCUUUAUGAUUUGUUAAUCAGGACCAGAGAAGUGUUUAGUUUAGGGCUAAUUAUGCUCCACUACUGAGGCAAGAUUUCUUUGAGUACUCUACCAAGUGAUUCAUGAAUUAGGAGAUUUUCUAGUCUGGCUGAUGAAAGUAAGCCCUUUUCCAGUCAUGUGUAAGAACUUGAUACUGUUCCCCUUAAUCCUGUGGGAUGGUUCUUUUCCUUAUCUGCGGUUGUUUCCUCUUAUGCAUGUGAUAAUCAGUAGUGUGAUGAAUACUUGAGAGGAUCCCUUUACAGAACUUGCCAUCAUAUUUUUCAUAGAGAAUAUCUUGCAUUAGCUGAUUGAAAUAUUUAUUCUUGAUUGGUACUUGGCAGUCCUGUUUACUACCUGUCCUGUAUAUGGAAUAUCACUGCCAACUUUAGCGGGGGGGGAUGGGACUGGGUGGGCAGUUCCUGCAAAAACUUCAAAUGACUAAUUAGAAAUGUCAGUGGCAUUUUCUCCCUCAGAAACAUCGCUGUUUAGGAUCGUGAAUUUUCUUUUACUCAUAUUUGAUUCGAUUAUCUUUCUUUCAAAGAAUUUUUCUAGAAUGAAUAUUUUACUUGUAUAUUAGGAAUAGUUUUUAAAUAAUCAGAACACAACUGCUCUCCUCAAUUAUCAUCAUUCUCAUUACUCAUUCCAUUUCUCUGGCUGGCAGCCUAUGGACCACUGGAAGGCCCGGCCAGGGGUGUGGUCAUCAGGACUUCCCAAAAGCACAUCUCCUUCCUCUGUGGCUUGACUGUGUGCCUCUCCUCUCGAGCUGCAACUGUACCAUGAGUCUCCCUUCCAGAUCAAAAGGAAGAUCCCGACCGCAGUCCUUUGGAAUAAGAUUUGCUAGUAUUCAAUGUUCUUUCUUGUGUCUCAACUCAUAUCCAUAUUUUCUUCUCAGAAUUCCAUAGGUUUAGCCCUUUGGGGGUUUUUACUUUUUUCUUCUUAUUUUUUAUACUGCCUGUUCCUACUUUAUGCUGUGUUUUACCCAUAUUUAUGUCAUUUUAAUCAGUUCCAUAAGACUGUGUUUGAACUCCCCACCUCCACUUGCUUUUGUUUUGGGUGAUGACUGUGCUGUCCACCUCUGCCACUUGUUUCAGGCCCUACUACUUUUUCCCUCCAAUGUUCCUUCUUUUGUGUCUGCCAUCUAUUAUUGCUGAAUACGUUAUUGUCGUUUUUGUCUUCUUAUUUUAUUUUCUCCUCUUCUUCCUUCAGUGGAUGUCUUGAGAUGUUCUUGCUUCUUAUGUUCCAUGUUUGCUGACAUAGGGCAAAACUAAGAAUCUGCGACAAGACAAGCUGCUUUUUCCUCUAUCAAAGCUGCCUUCAUCGGGCAGCUGUCCUUCAUUCUCAAUUACUUUAUCUACUCUUUUUUGCCUUUUUCACAUCCAACCUGUAAUCUAUAUUUUCCUUUCUUCAGCUAUAUCUUAAACUGUUAAAAUAGAGCCUGACAUGUAGUACACAUUCAGUAAAUAUCUGUUGAAUAAAAGAAAACAAUAAAUGAAUGAAUGGUUGUUUGGUAAUUAUCGCCUCAGUUGUUGAUUCUUUGCUUUUAUUUUAGUUCCUGGAAGCUGGUCUGCCUGGAUCAGCAUUGCGUGUGGUGCAUAUUUUUAUGUAGUUUGCAUUACCUUAUGCCCCACAAAGACCACACAUUUCUUACUAUACAGGAAGUGCUGUUGCAUCCUGGGCUUCUAUAUGCAUAGUGAUUUUCCUUACCAUGUGUGUUGAUGUGUUUUUAAAGUGGGAAGUGGAGGCUUUUGUGCAUAGAAAGGAACCAUGUAUAGGUAUUUGAAUAUUAAAAUAACAUUUAAUUAAUUUAAGUUGCAAACGAAACUAUAAUUUUCUUAGGACUUUAAGUUCACUUUGUGAUUUUGAUUUUACUUAUAAA
rnacentral:lncRNA from 10 species